rnacentral:rRNA from 1 species
CAUGUAGGCGGAUAUGCAAGCUUGGUGUGAAAGGCAGGGGCUUAACUCCCUGGACUGCGUUGAGAACUGCAUAACUAGAGUAACUGAGGGGCAACCGGAAUUCCAGGUGUAGGGGUGAAAUCUGUAGAUAUCUGGAAGAACACCAAUGGCGAAGGCAGGUUACCAGCAGAUUACUGACGCUGAGGUGCGAAGGUGCGGGGAGCAAACA